GACGAACGCUGGCGGCGUGCCUAAUACAUGCAAGUUGAGCGAUGAAGAUUGGUGCUUGCCCCAAUUUGAAGAGCAGCGAACGGGUGAGUAACGCGUGGGGAAUCUGCCUUUGAGCGGGGGACAACAUUUGGAAACGAAUGCUAAUACCGCAUAAUAACUUUAAACAUAAGUUUUAAGUUUGAAAGAUGCAAUUGCAUCACUCAAAGAUGAUCCCGCGUUGUAUUAGCUAGUUGGUGAGGUAAAGGCUCACCAAGGCGAUGAUACAUAGCCGACCUGAGAGGGUGAUCGGCCACAUUGGGACUGAGACACGGCCCAAACUCCUACGGGAGGCAGCAGUAGGGAAUCUUCGGCAAUGGACGAAAGUCUGACCGAGCAACGCCGCGGGAGUGAAGAAGGUUGUCGGAUCGUAAAACUCUGUUGGUAGAGAAGAACGUUGGUGAGAGUGGAAAGCUCAUCAAGUGACGGUAACUACCCAGAAAGGGACGGCUAACUACGUG
rnacentral:rRNA from 1 species